GUUCUUAGUUCGUGGAGUGAUCUGUCUGCUUAAUUGCGUAUCAAUAAUAGAGACCUAGUAUACGCGUAGACUCAUGCGGUAGUGACCCCCCUUCACAGGGCGCGUGUCGCACGUAUGUUAUACGCACAGGUCUCCGAUAGCAACGAACGUGACCGUACUCUAUUGUUGCAGCGACAAUACCUUUCAACGGGUAUUACCGCUGCUUAGCAAGAUUCGUCUUGCAUUAAACUAUAGAGACCGCUGUUUCUUCUUUAAACCAGAGGAAGGAUACGGCAAUAACAGG
rnacentral:rRNA from 1 species